GAAAAAGGGAGUAACAUAAGAUCAUAAAAUGCGGGCAUGUUGAGUAAAUAUAUUUGUAGGCCUUCGUUACAUCGCUCCGGGCGGCGUAAGAUUACGUCCCGUAAUCAGACUUCAUGUUUGUGAUAAGAGGUUUUAACUUCUUCAAUUGGAGGACAGCAAACACCGAAGAGGCCAAGACAGCAGCAAAUGCGUAAGACGAUGAGGACAAGGAUGAAAAUGACGGUGACGACCAAGGAGAUUAUGAUGACCUCCCACCAGCUGGUAUACCUCUCGACUCCCGCUGAAGUCAGUAGAACAUGCAGAGGAUGAGCAUGAGGACGAUGAUUCGAUGGAAAAUCCACAGAUGUGUCGAAGGAAGCAUCGCAUAACAACAAGUGCAUAGGCGAAGACAGGUCGCCAUUUUGAUGAGUGUCGUUUUCUUUGUUUGUAAAGUGAAAGAUAAGCGAAAAAGAAGAAAGGAAAUGAAGUGAAAGAAGAAUAUAGGAGGCGGAAUAGAAGAAGAGUUCGGGACUAAAGGAUUGCUACGGUAAUGCUAACAUAAUUUCCCUAUUAUUUUAUGCGUAUUAGUACUUUUACUCGCAGUUUAAAACUCGACCGCUAGAUGACGUUGUUUUAGUUUACUUUUGACCGCUAGAUGGCAUGAGAAUGUCAAUUCUGGAAAUAAAUAAGUCUAACUUAGAAAAUAAGAACUUAUUGAUUAAAAAUGACAAAUAACUUGAUGAACUUAGUCAAGUAAGGUUUUAAUUUAUCCAACAGGGAGGUUUUUAUUUUACGAUAAGUAAAAAGUUAGUUUGUCAGAGAUGGAAUGACUUGCUUGGAUAUACACAUAGAUUGUACCCCACGCAAAGAUAGUACUCAGGUUCAAAUCCCGGGGAAGCUUGUAAAAGGGAACAAAUGUGCGUCGGCACCAGUAUACGGAAGGCGGGUCACAUCGUGGCCUCUCCACCCCCUUCUUGUAUAUUGAGGUCUCGCGCUCCUCUCAGUAUUCAAUUCGUUGGCCGUAUAGCUCUUGUGGUGGAGAGAGUUGGUCUUCAGAAGUAACUACUGACGAUGGAGAUUUGUUCCUUUCAGCUAGGGGAGAGUCUGGCGCUGGACUCAAUCCGUGUACGAACGGCUUUUGCAUUUUUUCAAAAUUUUCAAGUAAUUUUUCCGCAAUGUAAUUAUAUAUUUAAUUCCAAUUCUAAUCGAAUUUUAAAAAAUUAUCAUAUUAUCAUUUAUCUUAUUCCUUAGAAACAUAUAUAAUUAUAUGUUUUUAAAGAACCUAACCUGUUUUUGAGACUAUUUGAACUAAUGAUUUGACUUAUACUGAUUGUUUGAAUUAUAUCUUUUUUUGUCUAUAUUAUAUAUAUUUUUUUCUUUCUAUUCCGAUUCUUCCUAUCCCAUAUGUUUUUUUCUUUCUUUUUUGUUUAAUUACUUAAUCUAUUUGGAGACUAUUCUUAUUGUUACUUCUGCCGUUUUAUUUAUUAAAAACACUACUGAGGCUACAAUUUUGGAGAAUGCGAAUAAGCAAGGAGAAGAAGAAGGAUAGAAAAGUGAUAGACGAAUAACAGAAUAAAGAAGAAUUUCAAGAGACUAGAAAGAGAGAAAUAGAGGAAAGAAAUUUUCCUACGAACGAUAAAAAAAAAAAAAAUGAUAUGUCAAACCCCCUUGUAUCAUAUCUUUUUAAUCAAAAAUUAUGUUAUAAAAAAAAAGUAUUUGCGCUACAGUUCGGGAUGACUCAAUGUUGGAUUUUCUUCAAAUACGUAAUUGACGUGUUCCAUUCCUUUUAGACAAAGUUGUCCGGUUGGGAUUGCAAUUGGUAAUUACAACCAAUAAUUACAACCAAAAUAAAUGUUAUAUUACAGAAA
rnacentral:lncRNA from 1 species